UGAGUAAAGUGGCGCACGGGUGAGUAACACGUGANNACCUACCCUUGAGUGGGGAAUAACCUCGGGAAACCGGGGCUAAUACCGCAUAACACCUUCGGGUCAAAGGAGCAAUUCGCUUAAGGAGGGGGUCGCGGCUGAUUAGCUAGUUGGUGGGGUAAUGGCCUACCAAGGCAAUGAUCAGUAUCCGGCCUGAGAGGGCGCACGGACACACUGGAACUGAAACACGGUCCAGACUCCUACGGGAGGCAGCAGUGGGGAAUUUUGCACAAUGGGGGAAACCCUGAUGCAGCAACGCCGCGUGGAGGAUGAAGUCCCUUGGGAUGUAAACUCCUUUCGACCGGGACGAUUAUGACGGUACCGGUGGAAGAAGCCCCGGCUAACUCUGUGCCAGCAGCCGCGGUAAUACAGAGGGGGCAAGCGUUGUUCGGAAUUAUUGGGCGUAAAGGGUGCGUAGGCGGUGCGGUAAGUCUUCUGUGAAAUCUCCGGGCUCAACUCGGAGCCUGCAGGAGAAACUGCCGUGCUUGAGUAUGGGAGAGGUGAGUGGAAUUCCUGGUGUAGCGGUGAAAUGCGUAGAUAUCAGGAGGAACACCUGUGGCGAAAGCGGCUCACUGGACCAUAACUGACGCUGAGGCACGAAAGCUAGGGGAGCAAACAGGAUUAGAUACCCUGGUAGUCCUAGCCCUAAACGAUGAUUGCUUGGUGUAGCAGGUACCCAAUCCUGCUGUGCCGCAGCUAACGCGUUAAGCAAUCCGCCUGGGGAGUACGGUCGCAAGGCUG
rnacentral:rRNA from 1 species